GGAAUGUGGCUCAGUGGUAGAGUGCUUGCAUAGCACAUGUGAGGCCCUGGGUUCAAUCCUCAGCACCA
rnacentral:tRNA from 1 species